UGAUAGUGAUGGCUGGAGUCUCAUAUUCAUAUUUGUCUGCACACCGUGUAAUUAACUUAAGUUACGGGGAUUUGUUUACUGUUCCGCGAAAAAAAAAAAAAAAAAAGCCAAGCAUCCCGCCAGGACUUAAUCCCUCAUCAGCAAACAAACAUCAGCCACACGCUUAACACUCCACCGAGCACAAGUUUUCUUUUCUCCGAUAGUAAAAGGUAAAACUUUCAUCUAACUCUCAGUAUGUGGCUGCCUCCCAAAGUUUGUUUUGAUCGUUAAGGCUGAGUGACGUAAUCAUACCGCGCCGCUCGCUGAUUGGUCAGUUUGUGAGUCAAGAUGGCGGGCGGAGGAGGGCUGCUUCAUUGAUUCGGCGUCGUUAUCGUGCGUCUGGCAGCCGGCAAGGGGAAACACGCAUGACAGCUUCAUGACGAAGAUGAAUGUGACGUCACAGCGAGGGGUUCUGCAAGGGAGGGGAAGAAAAUGCCCGAUUCGUGACAGGCGAGGGAACGCGACAUGUGAGAGGCGGGUGAGAGGGGAGUGAGGGGAGCGGCCAACCUCGAUAUCCUGAACGCCAAUCUAGGAAGACGAGGGAAGAGGAGAGAAGAGGAAGGAUAAUAGAGGUUGAGAGAAGGAUGAAGAGGCUACUACGGAUUAGUGGAAGCCUGUUAGGAGGUGUUAGGGAUGAGCAACAUAGGGAAAGAAAAAAAAAGUCACUGUUAUUUUCUUGCUUUGUUUUUCUUUAUAUUUUUUCAUCAGACAAUUUUAAUCAGAUAAUCUCUUUCUUAUUAAUGCUACGUUAGAUUAGGUCGGGUUAGGUUACGCAUGAAAUCAAUAUAUGAACUACACAGUGUUCAGUGCACGGUGAAUUAUUUAUUGCCCCAUCGAAAUUAAAACCAGUGUAACUAAAAUCUAAACAUUGGCGAUUUUUUUUUAUCACCAGAACUAAAUUUAAAUAGUUCUCCUUCCUAGAAAUUUCAAGGAAGAGGAGAAAAAAUUACUGCAUAUGGACGGGGAAAGACAUAACCAACCAAUACUUUGUUUUAUUUAUUGCUAAAACGUGAUCACCCACAUAACUUUCUUGACCAGUACAAGCUAACCAGGGCUACUUUCUUGACCAGUACAAGCUAACCAGGCCUCUCGAAAACGCCGAAGACCACGCAAGUUACGGACAAUUAACACUAUUUACACUACUCUUGUUAACUUUAGGCUUAUUGUUCAUUAAUGAGUUGCCUGGGACUUUUCAACUUACAGGCGUUUUUUCUGAUUUUUUUUUUUUCCCCUACAUGAGGUGUCGGAUAGAGGGAAGAGGAGAGAACCGUGCUAAGAAGAGAAAGGAGUCUGUAAGGAAGUCUAUAAGGAAGUCAGGGUCGUGUUCGAAAUAUAAAGUAUGCAUCAUAUACAUUAUAGACAUAUGAUGUGAGAGAGAGAGAGCGAGAGAGAGAGAGAGAGAGAGAGAGAGAGAGAGAGAGAGAGAGAGAGAGAGAGAGAGAGAGAGAGAGAGAGAGAGAGAGAGAGAGAGAGAGAGAGAGACGGAGAGGAGGUUUAAUCAACACAGGUACAAUUCAAAUUAACUGGGUAUAUUGAGAACUGUGUCAUUGCACAUAUUUAUUUUAUAUGACACACGAGGGAACUGACAAUGCAGGAAAAAAUAAACGGCAUCUAUGAAUGUAACAAUAUAAAAGAUGCCAUCUAAAUCCGUAAUUCUUUGUCUAUAAAGUUUAUUUUCAUGCAUCUUUUAUUAAAAAUACUGAUUUCCUUGGCUUCAUAAUUCAAUAAUUAUAUGUUUUCAUGUGUUAAAUUUAAAAACAUGUCUACAUUAUGAUGUACUGAUCCUGAUGAUUUAUGAUAAGGAAUAAAUUGGUUAUUUUAA